rnacentral:rRNA from 1 species
UUGACCUCGGAUCAGGUAGGGAUACCCGCUGAACUUAAGCAUAUCAAUAAGCGGAGAAAAU